rnacentral:lncRNA from 1 species
UUAACUCAUGGAAUUUCUGCUUUUAUAAACCUAUUAAGCCAUUUGCCUAGUUAAGUACCAAGUAAAGAACCAUAUUAAAUAUAAAGUGGCAGACAAGAGUAUAGGGUGGUUCCUUAGCUGUGUUACUCUAGAAAGUUUCAGAUAGACUACCUCAUAUAAGUCUGGGUUACUUAUUUUGUGUUCAGCUGUUUUCCUCCACAUCUAUUGAAGCAAUGUAUAAUGCAGAAUCUAAAGAAAUGUCAAUGCUUUCUUAAACAUUGUUAACAUAGUAUUUUCUGGUCCUAAAAUUUAUAAUUUAUAAAGUUAUUGUGAACAUAUUUUAGAAUAUUUUAGAGUAUGAUUACAUGAAACCCCGCAGACUUCACAGAUAAUAUUUGAUUAGGUAAACAGAAUCACACACACACCAACAUGAAC